AAAAACAUCGCCUCCCGACCCCAUGGGAGGUCCAGCCUGCCCAGUGAUAAUUAUUAAACGGCCGCGGUACCCUAACCGUGCGAAGGUAGCGCAAUCACUUGUUUCCUAAAUAGGGACUAGUAUGAACGGCAUCACGAGGGUUACACUGUCUCCCUCUUUCAAUCAGUGAAACUGAUCUCCCCGUGAAGAAGCGGGGAUAGACCUAUAAGACGAGAAGACCCCAUGGAGCUUUAAACUCAACAUCUAACUAUUUUUACCACACCAUGUUAACUAAAUAGCCCUGAAUGCUAGUUUUUGGUUGGGGCGACCGCGGAGUAAAAUUAAACCUCCACGACGAAAGGAAAGCACCCUAAUUUUAGACAAAAAAAUCUACGUGUUUUGAGUUCAGACGGGAGUGGCCCGUUUCCAAAACCAUCUACGUGAUCUGAGUUCAGACCGGAGUCGCCUGUUUACCAAAAACAUCUACGUGAUCUGAGUUCAGACCGGAGUCGCCUGUUUACCAAAAACAUCUACGUGAUCUGAG
rnacentral:rRNA from 1 species